rnacentral:ncRNA from 1 species
GAGUUUGAUCCUGGCUCAGGACGAACGCUGGCGGCGUGCCUAAUACAUGCAAGUCGAGCGAAUAGAUGGGAGCUUGCUCCCUGAUAUUAGCGGCGGACGGGUGAGUAACACGUGGGCAACCUACCUGUAAGACUGGGAUAACUUCGGGAAACCGGAGCUAAUACCGGAUACGUUCUUUUCUCGCAUGAGAGAAGAUGGAAAGACGGUUUCGGCUGUCACUUAUAGAUGGGCCCGCGGCGCAUUAGCUAGUUGGUGAGGUAAUGGCUCACCAAGGCCACGAUGCGUAGCCGACCUGAGAGGGUGAUCGGCCACACUGGGACUGAGACACGGCCCAGACUCCUACGGGAGGCAGCAGUAGGGAAUCUUCCGCAAUGGACGAAAGUCUGACGGAGCAACGCCGCGUGAGCGAAGAAGGCCUUCGGGUCGUAAAGCUCUGUUGUUAGGGAAGAACAAGUACCAGAGUAACUGCUGGUACCUUGACGGUACCUAACCAGAAAGCCACGGCUAACUACGUGCCAGCNNNNNNNNNNNNNNNNNNNN